rnacentral:lncRNA from 1 species
CUCAGCUAAGCUGUUCCUCACAGGCCCAGGCGGAGUCAGCAGGGAGGCAGCCGGCCAUGGGCGCCUGCUCAGAAGACCCCCACCUGUGUGAGGCCUCUGGGCUCCUGCGAUUCACCAGCCUCCUCCUCAGGGACCAGCAGCCUCUGCAGCUGCCGUGUGCAGGAGGCGCCAACCCAGAGCCCCUGUCUGAGCUGGAGGGGCUGCGCUAGUCUGGCUCCUUGGGCAAGAUGAGGCCCCGAAUCCAGUGACAUUCUGUUUGCAAAGGAAGGUAAGGAGCCCCCAGAAUUCAAGGGUCUGCGCCCACCUGCUGUGUGUAAGGGUGAGCCCGGAACAGGAGACUGCUGACCUCUGAUCUGGGCGGGGGUACUUGGGGGGCAGCAGAGGGGGCCCCAAAAGAAAACUGAAAGACUAUUUUAACAAGAGCCCCAUUUUCUGGUGCUUAACUUCAUCGGAGUCCAUUUGCUUAUGUGUAACCAAUUAAAUAAGAACAAAGG